rnacentral:rRNA from 1 species
GCAUAUCAAUAAGCGGAGGAAAAGAAACUAACAAGGAUUCCCCUAGUAACGGCGAGUGAAGCGGGAAGAGCUCAAAUUUGAAAUCUGGUGGCCUCAGGUCAUCCGAGUUGUAAUCUAUAGAAGUGUUUUCCGUGCUGGCUCAUGUACAAGUCCCUUGGAACAGGGCGUCAUAGAGGGUGAGAAUCCCGUCCUUGACAUGAACUACCAGUGCUCUGUGAUACAUUUUCAACGAGUCGAGUUGUUUGGGAAUGCAGCUCAAAAUGGGUGGUAAAUUCCAUCUAAAGCUAAAUAUUGGCGAGAGACCGAUAGCGAACAAGUACCGUGAGGGAAAGAUGAAAAGCACUUUGGAAAGAGAGUUAAACAGUAUGUGAAAUUGUUGAAAGGGAAACGAUUGAAGUCAGUCGUGCUCUUUGGAUUCAGCCGGUUCUGCCGGUGUACUUCCUUUGAGUGGGUCAACAUCAGUUUUGAUCGCUGGAUAAAGGCUGGAGGAACGUAGUACCCUCGGGUAAACUUAUAGCCUCCUGUCACAUACAGUGGUUGGGACUGAGAACCGCACCACCCUUUAUGGCCGGAAUCCGUCACGUACGUGCUUAGGAUGUUGACAUAAUGGCUUUAACGACCCGUCUUGAAACGGACC